CAGUCGCCGCGGGAAUACAGAGGAUGCAAGCGUUAUCCGGAAUGAUUGGGCGUAAAGCGUCUGUAGGUGGCUUUUCAAGUCCGUCGUCAAAUCCCAGGGCUCAACCCUGGACAGGCGGUGGAAACUACCAAGCUAGAGUACGGUAGGGGCAGAGGGAAUUUCCGGUGGAGCGGUGAAAUGCGUUGAGAUCGAAAAGAACACCAACGGCGAAAGCACUCUGCUGGGCCGACGUUGACACUGAGAGACGAACGCUAGGGGAGAAAAUGGGAUUAGAUACCCGUGUAGUCCCUGUCUCUUAUAA
rnacentral:rRNA from 1 species